rnacentral:rRNA from 1 species
GGUGAACGCUAGCGGCAGGCUUAACACAUGCAAGUCGAGGGGUAUGGUUCUUCGGAACCAGAGACCGGCGCACGGGUGCGUAACGCGUAUGCAAUCUACCUUUUACAGAGGGAUAGCCCAGAGAAAUUUGGAUUAAUACCUCAUAGUAUUAUGAAAUGGCAUCAUUUUAUAAUUAAAGUCACAACGGUAAAAGAUGAGCA